ACUCUACCUAAAUUCGGCGAAGGAUUGCUCGGUAUAAUCUAUUCGGUCAGGCAAUUUUGCGAUUUUUGAUUGAUUAUUUGUCUUUUCUCGGUCGUGUUCGUUAUCUGCCGGUGAAUUUAGUCAUCUGUAGCUAGUAUUUUCCCAGAAUAUUGUUUGGUUUUGGUAUUUUACCGCUAGAGUUUUGUUGCCUCUGUUUCUGACGGGGAAAACCGAGGGGAGAUUUCGACUAUGGCGGGAGGAAACUUCGUCCACAGAGUUUUCUCGUACUCGCGAACGAGCUCAUAGUUAAUGAAUUGGCGGACAGUCAAAUCCUAUUAUGCUAUUCUGACUCACAAGCUUGGGUUGCGCUGGAAAAUUUAGCCACCUGAAGCGCCUGUCCAUGAACUUGUCCAGCAAAUGAAGCGCCUGUCCAUGAACUUUGACGCCUUGUGGUUUUUAUCCUUUUAACCCAUGUCUUUGCCAAGAUUUGUGUAAGAUAACUUAACAGAUCCUUUUCACUUUGCAGGCGAUCAAGAGACAGUGAGGUAUAUCCUUUCCUCUGCAGAUGACAGUGGGAAUGGUCUUCUUGUGAAAAGAAUGUUUCCGGAUGUGUUUAAAACACUAUAAUACUUGUCAAUCACUCACUGGAUUCUUUAUUUUUUAGUUCCAGAAGAGAAGACUGACUCUACGACGCCGUUUCGGAUGUCAGUCCAAUGGAUUUUAGGAUAUAAGAACGACCCGUUUGCGUUAUGAUUUUGACUAUUUUGGGUUGGUCAAAUCCUCUUUGGGUAUGCUCCGGCGAGAGCCGCCGUGGCUAAAUGAAUAGCGUAAUUGUCCGUUUUCUGGAAUUUAGUAUGCAGUGUAGUGUAUAUUCCAUAUUUCUGGGUGCCUCCUUUUUCACAAACAGAAAUGCGGUAGGGUGAAGGAGCUCAGAGACCGUACAGUUGAGGAGUAUAUGAUGUAUGCACACACUCUAGAGUGUUCUCCUGCAUAUAUGUCUGUUGUAAUUGUGCCUUGUAGCUCGCACGCAUGUC